rnacentral:rRNA from 1 species
GUGGUAAAGCUGAGAUCAACUCAACUGGGUCGGACAUUGAUCCGCCUUCAUCUGAGAGGCCCGCUUCUGAUGCUCGAACGUCUUUCCAAAUGCCGAAGGUCCGUGGCGUGCGACCUCUGACAUUGGUUGGCAGAUCCAUAACACCCAUGGCCUCAAUGGUAGACCUUGUGAUCGGGUGGCAAAGGGGAUCGCUCAAAUUGGGGAGGGUGCUGCGGCCUAUGCCAAACACAUUGAUCAUGUGCUUGAGGGUGGGCGACCAUGGAAGGCUUUGGAACAACUGCCAACCCGUCAAAAGACAUGAUAAGCAAGCAGCCUCGAGGUAAAGUAGACACGGGAGAGCAAGAGUCUUGGCUGUUACUUCAACUCACAUUGAGUGUACAGAUCAAAAGACCUGAAGCGAGAAUGCCAGGAUCCAAUGAGCCAUCGUAGUGAUCCAGUUGUCGUCGGAACAAAUGCAUGCUUUGCGAGCUGUAGUGUUGAAAGCGCGGGCCUGGUGUCCCAGAGCUCGAGAAGUACAGCUGCAUUGCGGCGAUGAUGGCACGUAGGGUCUCUGUGGUCUGGGCAAGGGCUCUCAGUUGCAGGGGAAACGGAGAGUCACGAGUCGUUGCGUACAGGCUGUAGACAGUAUCUCCCAUGACUAGGUGGCUCAGUCCUAUCAGUAUCGGAUCAGAGAGGCGUGGGCAUAUUACUGAAAGCAACUUGGACUCGACCAGCNNNNGCUUGAUUUCAUGGGUGGCUCACAUUCUUUCAGCAAGCUGGACGUUUCGGCUUCAGGACCGGGUUCUUGUCGCCGUGGAUUAGUGUGCAGACCAUCGUGCAGAUCUGAGAUGACAGGCAUGGCCAAGCCGC